GAUGGGUAGCCGGCCUGAGAGGGUGUACGGCCACACUGGCACUGAGACAAUGGCCAGUCCCCUAUGGGAGGCGCAGGCGGGAAUAGUUCACAAUGGGCGAAAGCCUGAUGACGCGACGCCGCGUGAGCGAAGAAGACCUUCGGGUUGUAAAGCUCUGUCAGGAGGGAAGAAGGCUCUACGGGUCAAUAGCCCGUGGGAUUGACGGUACCUCCAGAGGAAGCCCCGGCUAAAUACGUGCCAGCAGCCGCGGUAAUACGUAUGGGGCAAGCGUUGUCCGGAUUUACUGGGCGUAAAGGGCGCGUAGGCGGUUUGUUAAGUCGAAGGUGAAAUCCUCGGGCUCAACUCGAGAAUUGCCUUCGAUACUGGCAAACUAGAGUGGCGGAGAGGAAAGCGGAACUCUUGGUGUAACGGUGGAAUGUGUAGAUAUCAAGAGGAACACCGGUGGCGAAGGCGGCUUUCUGGACGCACACUGACGCUCAGGCGCGAAAGCGUGGGUAGCAAACAGGAUUAGAUACCCUGGUAGUCCACGCCAUAAACGAUGGGUACUAGGUGUCGGGGGUAUCGACCCCUCCGGUGCCGCAGUUAACGCACUAAGUACCCCGCCUGGGGAUUAUGGUCGCAAGGCUGAAACCCAAAGGAAUUGACGGGGCCCCGCACAAGCGGUGGAGCAUGUGGUUUAGUUCGACGCAACGCGAAGAACCUUACCUGGGCUUGACAUGCUUGGGACAGCGCUGGAAACAGCGUCUCUCCUUCGGGAGCCCUUGCACAGGUGCUGCAUGGCUGUCGUCAGCUCGUGUCGUGAGAUGUUGGGUUAAGUCCCGCAACGAGCGCAACCCUCGUUACUAGUUGUCAUCAGUUCGGCUGGGCACUCUAGUGAGACUGCCGGUGAUAAACCGGAGGAAGGUGAGGAUGAUGUCAAGUCAUCAUGGCCCUUACGCCCAGGGCUACACACGUGCUACAAUGGUCGGCACAAAGGGUCGCUAAGCCGCGAGGUGGAGCUAAUCCCAAAAAGCCGGCCUCAGUUCGGAUUGGAGUCUGCAACCCGACUCCAUGAAGGCGGAAUCGCUA
rnacentral:rRNA from 1 species